rnacentral:rRNA from 1 species
GCGCAGCAGUCGCGAAUUUUUCUCAAUGGGGGAAACCCUGAAGGAGCGACGCCGCGUGGAGGAUGAAGGCUUUCGGGUUGUAAACUCCUGUCAUUUGAGAACAAGUGGCCGAACGUAACUACUUCGGCCUUGAUAGUAUCAGAAGAGGAAGGGACGGCUAACUCUGUGCCAGCAGCCGCGGUAAUACAGAGGUCUCAAGCGUUGUUCGGAUUCAUUGGGCGUAAAGGGUGCGUAGGUGGCGCCGUAAGUCGGGUGUGAAAUUUCGGAGCUUAACUCCGAAACUGCAUUCGAUACUGCGGUGCUUGAGGACUGGAGAGGAGACUGGAAUUUACGGUGUAGCAGUGAAAUGCGUAGAGAUCGUAAGGAAGACCAGUGGCGAAGGCGGGUCUCUGGACGGUUCCUGACACUGAGGCACGAAGGCCAGGGGAGCAAACGGGAUUAGAUACCCCCGUAGU